AUGGCUCAGGACAACGCUGGCGGCGUGCUUAACACAUGCAAGUCGAGCGAUGAAGCUCCUUCGGGAGUGGAUUAGCGGCGGACGGGUGAGUAACACGUGGGUAACCUGCCUCAUAGAGGGGAAUAGCCUUUCGAAAGGAAGAUUAAUACCGCAUAAGAUUGUAGUACCGCAUGGUACAGCAAUUAAAGGAGUAAUCCGCUAUGAGAUGGACCCGCGUCGCAUUAGCUAGUUGGUGAGGUAACGGCUCACCAAGGCGACGAUGCGUAGCCGACCUGAGAGGGUGAUCGGCCACAUUGGGACUGAGACACGGCCCAGACUCCUACGGGAGGCAGCAGUGGGGAAUAUUGCACAAUGGGGGAAACCCUGAUGCAGCAACGCCGCGUGAGUGAUGACGGCCUUCGGGUUGUAAAACUCUGUCUUUGGGGACGAUAAUGACGGUACCCAAGGAGGAAGCCACGGCUAACUACGUGCCAGCAGCCGC
rnacentral:rRNA from 1 species